rnacentral:rRNA from 1 species
GACGAACGCUGGCGGCGUGCUUAACACAUGCAAGUCGAACGGAAAGGCCCUGCUUUUGUGGGGUGCUCGAGUGGCGAACGGGUGAGUAACACGUGAGUAACCUGCCCUUGACUUUGGGAUAACUUCAGGAAACUGGGGCUAAUACCGGAUAGGAGCUCCUGCUGCAUGGUGGGGGUUGGAAAGUUUCGGCGGUUGGGGAUGGACUCGCGGCUUAUCAGCUUGUUGGUGGGGUAGUGGCUUACCAAGGCUUUGACGGGUAGCCGGCCUGAGAGGGUGACCGGCCAAAUGGGGACUGGGAUACGGCCAAGACUCUUACGGGAGGCAGCAGUGGGGAAUAUUGAACAUGGGGCGAAGCCUGAUGCAGCAACGCCGCGUGCGGGAUGACGGCCUUCGGGUUGUAAACCGCUUUCGCCUGUGACGAAGCGUGAGUGACGGUAAUGGGUAAAGAAGCACCGGCUAACUACGUG